UACGUAGGGACCAAGCGUUGUUCGGAUUUACUGGGCGUAGAGGGCGCGUAGGCGGCGUGGUAAGUCACUUGUGAAAUCUCUGAGCUUAACUCAGAACGGCCAAGUGAUACUGCUGUGCUAGAGUGCAGAAGGGGCAAUCGGAAUUCUUGGUGUAGCGGUGAAAUGCGUAGAUAUCAAGAGGAACACCUGAGGUGAAGACGGGUUGCUGGGCUGACACUGACGCUGAGGCGCGAAAGCUAGGGGAGCAAACGGG
rnacentral:rRNA from 1 species